UUUAUUGAUGCAAUUUCAAUACCUUAUAUGAUGAUGCUAAUAAACAUAUCUAUAGAAAUUAUUUGGUGUUUGCUUACUAUAUCUUUGUUACUUUAUAUUUUCGCUUGUAUUGUCUCAUAGAUAUAUUACUUUAUAUUUUCGCUUGUAUUGUCUCGUAGAUAAUUUCGGGAAUUUGAAGAGUCUCCUUGAUAUUGGAAAGGAAUUGUCCAUUCCUUUUCCUUUAUUUUAAUUCAUUAUAUUGUAAUAAUUUUUGUAAACAUUGGUAUACUAAUAAAAUUAUAGUGGACUGCUUGGGGGGCCGGGAACUUAUGUGCUUUCUAUGCUAUGUGAACCACUUAGGCAAACAAAUGUAAUUUAGAAUUUACUAAUUUACUUGUUUGUUGCGUAGAAAGCAUGAUUAGGAUUAAUAAUUCACUUUAUAAAUCAACAUCACUUUAAAUACGUCAAAUUGGCUUAUUACGCAUUUAAUUCAUUUUUCAACAUCUAAUCUUAUUAUUUGGAUUGUUUAACUAACAUUCCUCCGAGACAAUUUCAGGCAUGAAAAUCAAUUUCUCGCAAUUAAACAUUAUUUAUCAGUUCACUAAAAUAAUCUUUAGUAAUUGAACAUUUUUUCGCCCUUUAAAAUAGGUUUUGGCAAUUAAACACUUUUUCCAGCAUAUAAAAUUAACUUUCAGCAUAUGUUGAGUAUAUUAAAAUUAUUUUUCAGCCAUAAAUUUUUUUUUUCAGCACAUAAAAUUAUCUUUCAGCAUAUAUUGAGUAUAUUAAAAUUAUUUUUCAGCCAUAAAAAAUUUUUCAGCACAUAAAAUUAAUUUUCUAGCACUCAAAUUAAUUUUCAGCAUUUUUGUUAAUUUACAGCAUAUUUAAUUAUCUUUUAUAUAAUAAAUUAACAGUUAUCAUAGACGGUACGAAUUGUCACUUGUUUAGAAUUCGGUUACUGGCUAGUGGGUUUGGUAAUGAUCAACAAGUUGGCUAUUGAUUCGAAUAAAAUCAAAAAUAAUUUCUUGGCCUGACUUUUCAAAUUUGGUCUUUUAUUUACUUUAUUUAUAUGUUUAUUUGUUUGGGGUAGUUAGGCUCUUUAAUUUAAUAGAAAUAUUUUGUCAUAAAUUAUGUCAUUUCUGGUUUCUUGCUUAUCUGCUUUUUAUUAUUUCUUAUCUUGUUUUUAUCGUCACUUGGUGAUUAAAAAUAAUUAAAUAACAUGUUUUGUUUUAUUCAUUAUUUUAUCACAUAGCUAACAUUAACUUUAUGAAAUAAGUGGUCUUUGUUUAUCACAUAGAAAUCUCACGUAAAAUACUGAUUAGUUGAGAAUCAUCUUUUUGAAUCUCGAAAUAUGUUUAACACCUUCCUUUCGAGGUAAUUUAAACUUUUACUCGAAUUUCUGGUGAAUUAAGACUAAGAUAAUCAAUAAUAGGUUCGUAGUAGUCUAGAAUGCUGUCCUAACUCAUCUUAAUACGUUAGGUUUUGACUCUUUACAUUCUUUAAACAAUCUCCUAGAAUAGUAGUCAUGUCGAAUUUUGUUUUUCACAAGAUAAAAUGGGGCGCGUCCUUAAUGGCAGGGGAAUUCGUUAUUUUCAUUUUUAAAGACGUAUUAAAUUCGUAUAUACAAAGGUUUCCGUUAUUUUCAUUUUUAAAGUCAUAAUAAAUUUGCAAAUACAAAGGUUUCAAUGUAUAUGACGGCUGUCUUAUUUAUAUGAAUUGGGAGAGAGUAAAGUAAUUCAAGAAAGGGUUGUGAUUUGUGUUAUUUAUAAAAAAAAAAAUUACAAUUCAGAUGUGCUACGUUUUGUGACAUAAAACUAUACUUCGUAAAUAAUAAUAAGUGUCUUUAUGUAUAAUAACACAAAACCUUAUAAAACUACAUUUGGUAAAUAAUAAUAAGUGUCUUUAUGUAUUAUAACACAAAACCUUAUAAAACUACAUUUGGUAAAUAAUAAUAAGUGUCUUUAUGUAUUAUAACACAAAACCUUAUAAAACUAUAUUUGGUAAAUAAUAAUAAGUGUCUUUGUGUAUUAUUACACAAAACCUUAAAUAUAUGUUGCGUGGUCUGAUUUUCUUCUAUUAGAAAUUCCUUCUUCCUAAAGCCUCCCCCUCCUCUCAGUCAUUUCUUCGUUCCUUUACUAAAUUAUCUGCUUUGUUAAACAAAAACUGUUGCUUCUUCUCAAUUUCAUUGAAUCAAGGUUACUUUUUUUCUCCCAAGUUUUGUAAAAUUAAAAGUAUUUCGGCAUCGGUGAGUGUCUUUCAUACAAUAUAUGUUUUGCAUGCUUUGGAAAAAUUAUCUCUAAAGGUUUGCAUACAUUCUACCCUAAAUAAAUCCUACUUUGUGUGAUUAUUCUAGGGAUACAAGUUUGCAAGAAUGGCAAAGACAAAAGUUUCGAUGGGAGUAAGAUUCAUAAUCUUUGUUAUAACAUUAGCAGCCGCACUUACCAUGUUGUCUAGCAGACAAACAGUCUAUAUAAAAGAUGGAUAUUAUAUUUUACCACCUUACAAGAAUUCCAACAAUGGUUACCCAUUCAAAGCAACAUACAAAAAUUGGAACAGCUUUAAGUUCUUUAUAGCUGUAAAUUUUAUUGGAGCUGCUUUCAACCUUCUAGUUAUGAUUCUUCCUGAUGGAAGUCGUCUAUGGAAGUUGGUCGUUGUUUUGGAUACGGUUAUUACAAUGACACUUAUUGCAAGUUGCGCUGCAGCAUUCGAGACCUAUUAAUUUGCCGUUUUGUUCCAAUUUACUGCUCAAUAGUAUUAGGAGCCACUGUUACAUCCGCUUGUGGAGUAUUCACGAUUGCCUCACUUCUUUUUUAUUUUUUCCACGUCAUCUUCAAUCCUCUCCUAAUCAAAAGUGAAGAUGACAAUUAGAGGAAAUUAAGGUUUUUUUCUACUUUGCUUUGUUGAUUCAUUAGUAUUAAGUGGUGUGCUAUACUGCAGACUAGUAUCGAACUAGAAGAUAAAUUUCUUUCCGUUUUUCUUUUUACAGGCUUAACAUCAGUAUUCCUAAUCUUUUCAUUCCCUUUUCUUAGUACCAACUAACUAACUGGAUCGUGCGGGCACCUACUCUAUUCUAUCUAGAUAGGAGUAGAAAAACAUGUGAAAGUUAUAAACUCUAGUUUCGUUUCUUUGAUUCGUAA